rnacentral:rRNA from 1 species
UAGGGAAUCUUCCGCAAUGGACGAAAGUCUGACGGAGCAACGCCGCGUGAGUGAUGAAGGUUUUCGGAUCGUAAAGCUCUGUUGUUAGGGAAGAACAAGUACCGUUCGAAUAGGGCGGUACCUUGACGGUACCUAACCAGAAAGCCACGGCUAACUACGUGCCAGCAGCCGCGGUAAUACGUAGGUGGCAAGCGUUGUCCGGAAUUAUUGGGCGUAAAGGGCUCGCAGGCGGUUUCUUAAGUCUGAUGUGAAAGCCCCCGGCUCAACCGGGGAGGGUCAUUGGAAACUGGGGAACUUGAGUGCAGAAGAGGAGAGUGGAAUUCCACGUGUAGCGGUGAAAUGCGUAGAGAUGUGGAGGAACACCAGUGGCGAAGGCGACUCUCUGGUCUGUAACUGACG